ensembl:lncRNA
UGUAAAACUUUUAUAUGAAUUAAUUUCAAUUCAUUCUUUUUGCAUUUAAAUUUGCAUUGUGUUUGCUACUUCAAUUCAAAUUCAGGAAUUUAAUUGGAAUUUAAAAUGCAUUUUCAAUUAAAUUCUCAAUGGAACACAACCAAGCUGAGUAAUACUGAAAUCUGUUAAUUAUAAUGCAGUUGUCAUUUCCUGGCUGUGUGAUAUGUUGUGUAAACAAAACUGUCAUAGCAGAAUCUACCGCUGUCCUCAUUUUUCAGUGUCGUCAUGCAUUAGUUUGUAUCUGACACGCAUUCUUAUGUGAGCAGGGAGUGAUGUUAAAUAAUUCAUCAAAAUUACCAUGAGUUGGACCAUUAAUGAGUUGCCUGAAUUUUGUUAUUCAUGGUCUGAAUAACAAUGUUUUGUCCUUUUAAGCUUCUCGAUUACGAGUAAUCAGCCCUGAAGCCUGGGAAAGCUUGUUAGAGAUGACAUGUUCAGCCUCGUUGUCAUAUCAUUCUCUGGAGGUGUUCAGACAACUUGCUUCAUUACUGAAAUCGAGGGAGGAGAGGACGGAGAUAAGCAGUGACAGGAUUGUGCAGGGAAGGGCUGGUGCUGGUGGUUUAUUACACGGCCCCGGGGCGCACAUUUCUGCGGCCGACAUGUCUGGACGCGACCCCCGCGCCAGAGUAUUGAAGCACGGCUGUGAUUGAACACAAAAGAUGGGAAGAGAGAGAGAUCUGAGACAAUGAUGUCACUCAUUCCCGAUAGCGAUGAGAAUCAUGUGGAAUUUCGGUUUAGAUUCCUUAACAGUUUUGGUUCCUUAACAAAGCUCUUAGUACUUGACUGGUAUAAUUAAAGUGACAGUUCAUCCUAAAAUUAAAAUUCUGUCAUCAUUUACUCACCAAUCUUCUGUCCAGUUCGAGCUGUGAAUGUCAUGAGCUGUAGUUCAGUGAAUCAGUCAAGAACCGCUCCACCCGAGUGAAUCAUUACACUGAUUCAAACUGAUUAUUUUGAAUCAUUUUAUCAUGA